AGGGUGAAGCGGGUGAGCUCACAUCUCCAGUCUCAAGAUGAUGGCCAUACUGUGUGUUCUGCUGACAGUGCUCUGCCUGCCCUGUUUGAAUGGUCAGAGUCUGGAGUCCAUUCCCACCUCAGUGUUAAAAAGGCCUCAGGAAACGGUCAGCCUGUCUUGCAGGGGAGCUGGAUUCAGUUUCGAUCAGCGUGGGAUGCACUGGAUUAAACAGUCUGAAGGAAAAGCAAUGGAAUGGCUCGGGCUUAUUUACUACGAUGCAAGUAAAACAAUCUAUGCAGCCAGUGUGCAGGGACGAAUUGAAAUCACCAGAGAUAAUAGCAACAAAAUGGUGUAUUUAAGGCUGUCCAACCUGAAACCAGAGGACUCUGCAGUGUAUUACUGUGCUGCUGCACACACUGUUGUCUGUGUCAACAUAAAGGCUUCACAAAAACCUCAAAAAAUAUAUUUGUACAAGAUCCUGCAGAGGGCAGCAGAUUUAAAACUCUUUACCUCCACCAAGGAGGUGUGA